rnacentral:tRNA from 3 species
GGGCCGGUAGCUUAGUCAGGUAGAGCGAAAGGCUCUUAACCUUUAGGUCGGGGGUUCAAAUCCCUCUCGGCCCGC